UCUCAGUUCGGAUUGUAGUCUGCAACCCGACUACAUGAAGCCGGAAUCGCUAGUAAUCGCGGAUCAGAAUGCCGCGGUGAAUACGUUCCCGGGUCUUGUACACACCGCCCGUCACACCAUGGGAGUCGGAAAUGCCCGAAGUCGGUGACCCAACCGCAAGGAGGGAGCCGCCGAAGGCAGGUCCGGUAACUGGGGUGAAGUCGUAACAAGGUAAC
rnacentral:rRNA from 1 species